CUGUCACGGGGGCGGGGCCGGCCCUGCGGGUCCCUAGUUCCGGGGAGCAGAGACGGGACUCGCUGGCCUGGGCGGCUGUAGGGCCCUGGAAGCACCGAUCCGCCCCACCCCUGCGGGCUGGCUCCUGCCGCCGCGCCCCACCACUGGGGCUGGAGCCGCCGCCUCCCGUGGCGCGUCAGCCCCAGCCGCGCCGAUGCCACGUGGGAGGCGGAGGAGCCGCCGCCGGCGCCGGCCUGGAGCCCCGGGGCCCCCCCAGGCGCAGGGGGCGCCGCUGGCGGGGCGCCGAGAGGCGGGAGGCUCCCGGGAGCGGGCGGGGCUCGGCCUGCCCCGCUGGGCCCCGCGGGAGGAGGUGCUCGGCGGCGCCCAGGGAGAGCUGGGCCUAGCGGGGCUGGUCCCGGCCCCGCCCGGUAGCGCGGCGGGGCCUGCCGGGCUCUCCCACCCGUGGGCCGCCCCCGUCCCGCUUCUCGCCCCGCUCCUGGCCCCGCCGGCCCCACGAGCGCAGGGCAGCGGCCUGCCCGCCGCGCUGGGCAUCUUCCGGGAGCUGGCCGGGCUGGCGCGGGAGCCGGGGCCCGGGGGCAGCAGGGCGGGGGCGGCGCCGCGGCUGAGGACCGUGUACGUGAACCCCAGGUGGCUGGAGCGGCAGGCGGCCUUGGCGGCGGCCCCGCAAGGCCCGGUCGGGCCGCAGGGCCCGGAGGCUGCGAGCAGCUCGCCGGGGCCUCCGCCCGCCACCCAGGGGGAGCCCUGCCCGGAGGCAGCGAGUCCCUACGUGGGGCUGCGGAGACCCCUGGGCUACCAGCUGGCGAAGGCCACCAAGGAGCGGAUCUGGAGGGGGGAGUUCAUUGACCUGUUCUCCUUGCUCCACACAGAGCUGGCCCCGGAGCACGAGCCUGGCCAGGGGCUGGGGGACACGCUGGACCAGUGGGUCUCCGCCUUCCUGGUGUACGCCAGUGUGCUGUGCGAGAAGCACCCCAACAGGUGUGGGGCCAUGUUCAAAUACCUGGAUGUCAUCCGCAAAUUCCACGCCACCUACGGCGGCACUUCCUGGCUGCACUAUGACGAGGACUUCAGGCGGCUGGCGGCCAAGGACCCCACCAUGGCCUGGGGGGAUGUUGACUUGAAUCUCUGGAUGAAGUGGAUGGCCCCGUUAAAGCCAUCGACAACCAGGCAGCCGCAGGCUGCGGGUGACCAGCAGGCUCCACUGCGGCCUCAAAAUUCCAGGACGGAUGAUAAAAGUCAGGUGUGCCGGGCUUGCAACAGUGGCACGUGCUCCCACGCUGUCUGUGCAUUAAAGCAGAAAUGUACAAGGUGCCAGGGGCAUCAGGGUGCUGCCCAUGCAUGCUGUGCAUCCAAAGGGGAAGAGGAAGGAGGGCACAUUGAAAGACCACGGAAAGCAGAAGAGCAGCAAUGCUCAGAAUGUCACUCGAGUUGAGACAGGGCCUCACUGCUAAUAGUCUAGAGAUUUUUUUCAAACAGAUACAGAUUAUAUGGCUAAAAAAGUCAACUAUGGAUUCUUAGUUGACUAAUGCAGCAUGGUUUAGGGUGUAAACAAAGCUCCAGCAAGUUAGAACAGGACACUUAUUACAAAAUGUGUUCCCUACUUGUAUUAAUUUUUUGGACGUGCUACUACGCAAGAGAAAUUAGUUAUUGAUACUGUUGUAAUGUUAAGGCUCCCCAACGAUCUGUUUUUCCUCUUUGUAAAGAAUAUGUUGCUUCCCAAGAAAUCGUGGGUGGGCGGGAAAGAAAACCAGGAGAAUUGACCUAUGAUUGUUUUAAAUAUGUUCCUCAUGAUAGAGUUAUUCAUAUACAAAACAGAAUGUGCAUGAGAUUUUGCUGUUGUCAUUUGUGGGGGUUUUGGCAUCUGGAGGUGGGGUGAAAGAUAAAAGCUGGUCAAGGAUGCAUGUCAAUGCAAGUGAGAUAAACCAGAGUUUUGGUGGGCACAGUUUGCACCACUUCUAACGAAUAGAGGAUUCAAGUCAAACUCAGGAUUCAACAGAUUAAACCCACAAGAAUUUUAGCCUACCUUGUGCAAAAGCACAAGAAGAAGGCCUUGUCUACAUUGAGGAUUUGCCAUUAUUACAGUCAUCGGUGUAACUGGACUGGUGCAACCCUAAGGUACACCUGGUGUAGUUUAUUCCAUUUGAAGCAGGGAGGAGCUCUUCCACCAGUACAUAUAGCAGCUCUGUCUGUGUACAUGAGGGGUUGCACCUGUCCAGUUAUAAUAAUGACUGAAAUGAAAGCAAAUCCCCAGUAUAUACAAGGUCAAAGACUGAAUAUUGAGUCUCAGGUCAAAUGUAUGCUAGUUGAAAGGCUUUGUUAAUGCAUUCACUAUUCUUUUUUUAAUUGUUUUGAGGACCCUAGGAGGCAAAUGAAUUUUUGAUGCAUCCUUUUGGAUUCUUGCUAUUCUAUAUUAUAUUUUAUAGUGACUGACACAGAGCUGUUAAAGGGUGGGACUGUAGUAGCGUGAUCUGGAGAUAGAUAACUUUUCUAGAAUUGCAAGUAUUUAAUCACAAAACUAAGUCCUGUGUUUUGUACCAUAUCAAAACUGGUUUGUCUGAGCCAACUGCAAAAACAGUGGAAAUGGGUACCAUAGAAUGUGUACCAAAUCACAAGUACUAUAAUAGCUCCCAGUGCAGCUAUUGUGGCAUUAGUACAUUUUUUGUAAUGAUAAUACUCUAUGCUUAUGCAAUUUGUUCUGACAUCUCUCUUUAGACUUCUCAUUUCUGAAAUGUAGCAGAUCAGUUUUUACUUCACUGCAGAUCUUACCAUGAGAAAGCUAGUUGGAAGGGCAGUCCAACUAAAUUGGUACCAACAGCCUGACUCCAUUGUUGUCUAAGUGGAGCUCAGGUAUUCUAUUGCACCCAUUUACCUCUGCUUUUGCUGCAUUGCAUGCUCUGCUAAAGAAGACAUAGGAGAUUCAUUUUACCCAACCAGCAGUUGUAGCAAUGGACUACAAUCAAGCCAGUUUGUUGGACAGUAAGAAUACUUGCAGUGCAGCAUUUGACACAGACUAUCUAAAGAGGGCAAAGAUUCAGGAGGGUGAAUGAGUUGAACCGCCUUUGAAUGAAGUCUGAAACAACUUCAAGAAGGGGAAUCCUACUCUAAAAUACUACAUAGAAAGUAUAAGUCAAAGUGAAUAUUGUAAUUGCCAGAUUGUCCCUUCUCAUACAAGCAAACUAUUUUGUGCUGUUCUGGGUCCUUAAAAGAACACACUUGAAUAUUUCAAAAUCUAUGUAUUACACUUAUUUAAAAAAAAAUUCAAAUAUUUGUCUUUAUUAACUUUGCCAUUUCAUGAAGAAUAUCUGCAACAACAUGUACUGAGUUGAAUAAUACCCUACAUUCAAUAGAUCAGCAGCUGUUGACAGUUGUUUUAUAAGAUUCACACAACAUUUCCUCUCUUUUUCCUCUGGGGGAAAAGAAGCAUUGACUUCCAUUGGCACAUUCAAAAAAGCCAUAGGGCAGUCAUACAUACCUUGCUUCUUCACCACACAUAGAGAUGACAAAUUAUUCUUCCAUGCAUCCCAAUAGUAUAUCUAGCAUUGUAAAUAUCAAGUUAUGAAUGGUUAUUAUCUGGUGCCAAUGAAAGUUAGAUUAGAUGGAUCAUGGCUUAAUUAUUUGGGUUUUUUUCCCAGUGUUCUGUUUUUUCUCUCCCCCUCACCUCACAUACUAGGGCAUAUGAUCAAGAUGAUAAUUAGGUAUCAGAAAAUCAACCAUUAUCUGUUCUGUUUUUCCCAUUCUUGGUUGUCACAAUAUUAUGCACUAACUUGAAAUGUUUGUAAAUUCAUAUUAAAAAUGUUUGAGACCUCAUCUAAAUAAAUUUUUUUUAUAAAAAUGUCGUGCUUAACUU